UUGGAGGGCAAGUCUGGUGCCAGCAGCCGCGGUAAUUCCAGCUCCAAUAGCGUAUAUUAAAGUUGUUGCAGUUAAAAAGCUCGUAGUUGAAUUUCGGGAUCAGAUUGUCGGUCGUGCCUCGGUACGCACUGGUAUUAUUGGUUCCUACCUUCUGAAGAACCGCGAUGUCAUUAAUUUGGUGUCGUGGGGAAUCAGGACUGUUACUUUGAAAAAAUUAGAGUGUUUAAAGCAGGCUUACGCUUGAAUACAUUAGCAUGGAAUAAUGAAAUAGGACGUUUGAUUCUAUUUUGUUGGUUUCUAGGAUUGACGUAAUGAUUAAUAGGGAUAGUUGGGGGCAUUAGUAUUCAAUUGUCAGAGGUGAAAUUCUUGGAUUUAUUGAAGACUAACUACUGCGAAAGCAUUUGCCAAGGAUGUUUUCAUUAAUCAAGAACGAAAGUUAGGGGAUCGAAGACGAUCAGAUACCGUCGUAGUCUUAACCAUAAACUAUGCCGACUAGGGAUCGGAUGAUGUUAAUUUUUUAAUGACUCAUUCGGCGCCUUACGGGGAAACCAAAGUGUUUGGGUUC
rnacentral:rRNA from 1 species